UACGUAGGGGGCAAGCGUUGUCCGGAAUCAUUGGGCGUAAAGCGCGCGUAGGCGGCCCGGUAAGUCCGUUGUGAAAGUCAAAGGCUCAACCUUUGAACGCCGAUGGAUACUGCCGGGCUAGAGUCCGGAAGAGGCGAGUGGAAUUCCUGGUGUAGCGGUGGAAUGCGCAGAUAUCGGGAGGAACACCUAUGGCGAAGGCAGCUCGCUGGGACGUUACUGACGCUGAGACGCGAAGGCGUGGGGAGCAAACAGG
rnacentral:rRNA from 1 species